rnacentral:misc_RNA from 1 species
UCGAUGAAGAGUACGUUUAUUCAGAAUGGCUACCAGGUAAACCAGGAAAGGAUAAGUAAGAACCUGCUAAUCUCUUUUUUGAUGAACAUCUUUUGGAUACCUGGUACGAAAUUCAAAGCAAUACUCCUGGAACAUCACAAGAAAUGUUUCUGAGAAGUCUUUCUCAAAUGUCUACUCAAAAUGGCCGGCCUUGUAAGCCAAGUUACAUCAAUCCAAUUCUGUUUUCUAAAGCCUAUGACGAGAAUAAUCUAAUGCGAUAUCGCAUUCAAAAUGAAGUACUUCUCUAUAAACCUGGUAUUUGUUGGGCGUGUGGAGAACACCCAAUUGCUCUUCACGUCGAUGGAAAUUUAAAGUGCUAUCGUUGUAUUACAGCUAAAGGAUUUGAAACCGAUCCUCUCUUUCAAGAUAUCAUGAUAGCAUCUGAUAAAGACGUUAAGGAAUUUUUGGAUCUCAUUAAUAAUGUCAUUCCGCCGCAGUCAAAAAAUAAAGAAAACUGCGGCGCAGCAGUUUACCAGGCUGCUAAAACAACAUCUUCAUCAAUGAAAGGUCUGGAUGAAACUGGUUUGCUCAUUAUGAGCUGCCGUCACGGGUGGGUAUGGAGGGCGCUAAAUUUGUUCAUGGGUGAAACAUACCGCUAUGUACUGUACUUACAUGAGUACGCUAAGGACAAGAAUGUCCGUUUCUUUUGUUCCGAUGUCGUAUGUCAGUACUGGAUUUUCCUUUUGAAAGUCACUCAGACUGAAGAACUAAGAGAAAGAUUUGAAGGUCUUAUUACUUUGACCAUAGACUUUCUCUCGCGAUGGCACGGGAAAACACACGCGUGAUUUUACCAACUACUACACCUUGGAUCUUACAAAAAAGGAGCUGGUGCUACUAGUGGUGAAAGUCAAGAACAAAACAAUGCACACACCAGUCGCUUUGUAACAACAACCAAACACAUGAGUGCAUCUCGAAGAAUAGAUACUUUUAGCGCUAGUUUUAUCAAAGAAAACUGGGGUAAGAUCCCUCGUAUGGUCAAAGGUAUCCUUAAAACGUAUCACACGGCUAGGGUAAGUGUAAAAUGGUACCGCAAACAAACAUCCAAGCUGAUGGAUGCGCGACUUGAAAAGGUUAAUCUUCUGUGUGAAAAAGGCGCUUCUCUAAUUGAAGAG